GUUUAUAGUGCUGUGAGUUUAACACUUCAUGACUGAGAGCAGAACACAACACAAUCUUCAUCAUCACACAAGACUCAACUACUACAAUGAACAACAUCCUCAUCCUCAUCUGGACUCUCACGCUGUUUGCUCAAGAGUGUAGAGGACAGAUCACUGUAACUCAGAGUCCAUCAUUAAUAACAACAACUCAAGGACAAGACGUCACAAUAAACUGUAAAACCAGCAGCAGAGUUUAUAAUGGUGACUUCUUACACUGGUAUCAGCAGAAACCUGGAGAAGCUCCUAAACUCCUGAUAUAUAGAGUUAACAGCCUCCAGUCAGGAACUCCAUCUAGAUUCAGUGGAAGUGGAUCUGACAGUGAUUUCUCUCUGACCAUCAGAGGAGUCCAGACUGAAGAUACAGGAGAUUAUUACUGUCAGAGUGCACACUAUAUCAGUGGUAGCUGGGUGUUCACACAGUGA